rnacentral:lncRNA from 1 species
UUUUAUUUGUAUUAUGUGAGAUUGUUUUGAGUUUCAUUUUGCAUUUGUUGGAAUGGAAAGAAAAAUUACUCUGUUAUCCAUGCAUAGUUAAGUUUUAGUUAAGUCUACCUUGACAUUUCUCAUAACACGACCCGUCCUUGUCUUCUGAGCUAAGAGGAUCAGGCUUAGUCAAGUCUACCGUCACAUUUCAAUUUAAUGAUCUAUUAUGUUUGAUUUUUCGUGAAUUUGUGUUACUUAAUGAUCUAUUUUGUUUCUCGCUUAUCAAAUAAUUGGAAUUAAGAGGAGAUUUGUUUAACAUUUGUUGAGAAUGGUGAUGCGUUAAAGAUUCGAUUUUAUUGCCAAGUGUCUUCGUGAGAUUAUGUCUUUCGGUAGUGUUGAAAGAGCUGCUGUUUCUAAUUUUGGUUCAUUUCUUGUUAUGGGAGAUUGGUUUAAGAUAUGGAAUAAAUGUAGUUCAUUUCAGGGUAAUAAUGUUGCAAAGCUUUUUAAUAUUCCUUCACACAACCAUGGUUCCUUGUAUUCAGUCACCUUAUUUUCUUGUGGCAGGCUACAUUAAGAUAUAUCAAGGUUGGAGACCAAAGUUGAGAGGCUAAAGUCGGUAGUACAAGUUAAAGAUAUGGAGAUUGCAACAGUUACACGAAUAGUACAAUCUCGAGACUUGCCUAAAUUCUAUGAUUUCUCUCUAUUUAACAUUGAACAAGGAAGUUAUUUUCCACCGAAGCCAAAGGUAAGGCUGCUUUUAAGCUCAAAUUGACAAGCUACAGUAGGAAAAUGUUGAACUCCAGAGAAGGGUUAUUGGCAAUUAGGUUAUGGUAGUUGGAUGGUGUGAGAUAGAUACUAGUUUCUAUGUAAUAAUUUUAACUUAGUUGUUUCUGUUUGUGUGCAAAGCAAGUAAGAACUCAACAAUACAUGAGAUGAAUAAGAAAAAAAGGAGUACAUCAAAUUGCAGGUGAGAACCUUUUAGUUAUUUUUCGGUUCUAGGCUCAAGUUGGACUCUGUUAGAGGUGUUUAUUAUUUACAGCUGAGAUAGGAGCUUUUGUAUGUCUAAACAAGUCUUAAGGGAGAAAAAAAGAAUUCCUACCAAACCCUUCCACCAAGACCAUAGAAUUCCCUUGAAGAGCAGAAUACAUAAUCAUCAGUCUAAAGCUUACAGUACUUAAGAGACAAAAGAGUUGAAUUGAAAUGUUCAUCAUGUUUGAAAUGCCAACAAAGUUAAAUGGUAGAUGAGAUGUGUUGAAUUCGUGAUUGACUCAAAGUAAGUUCAUCAACAAUACGUAAUAUUUUCUUCUUCUCGUGUUCUUAUUACAGUUUCUUUUUAAUUUCUCAGUAUUUCUGUGCUUACUAGGGGUGAGUAGAGAUCUUAUACAUCUUAGAUUGGUAUUUCCAAGUGCUGUACUUUCGUACUUUUAAAGUAUUUCAUUUGGAUGUCAUCUACCUCUAAGCCUAAACGCUAAAUGACAAUGGAAGAUAUUAGGCUGUGCAGUAGGUGAUAAAUUUCAGGUUUCUCUUAGGGUGGAAUUAGAAGAGAAUCUAGGUUUUGUACACCGAAAAAGAGAGAAUAUAAAUGAUGAUUGAUCCUGUAAGCAAAUAAUGUGUUUUUGUUAAGGAGUCAAAGGGAAUUUAGAUGAAUGGAAGGACAGGUGGAAGGAGUGAUUAGAUUUAUGAAAUUUAUGGACCAAGUUACCGUGGGGGGGAAUUACGUUGAAUGGUUUGUCCAAUUAAAAAUUUCCAUUACUUUUAUGGUACCCUUAUUGUCACCAUUCGUCUCUUUUUCUAUCACUCGAGAUCCCUUCCUUGCCUUGCCUUUAUCCAAAUUAUUGUCUAUUUCUUGUAGCCAGUGAGUCCAUCUAGCUUUGCUUAAAAAUGUUAAUUACCAAAACUUUAACUACGCCCUAAUAAUGCCUUUAUUGUUUGUUUUUGUUUUUGUUUUUUUUCUCUUUUUUGAUUUAACAGUUAAAAUCGUGUUGGUAUAACGUACCACAACGUAUCUAUUCUUAUAUUGCUAUAUCUUAUUUACUUCAAAUCAAUGUCUUACCGAGCUAACAUCUUAUUUCAUGAAUAUACGCACUUACAUUCUCACUUAGCGUGGCUCUUUUUUUCAUAUUUCAAACUCACAAGUGAGAAAGAGUGUUGGAUGUUAUGUUAAAUUUACUCUCUUAUCCAUUAGCUUAAGCUUCUAUAUGUAUUGGUGCUUUCUUGAUACACUCAAAUAUUUCUCUAUUAUUACUUGUUUUCUCCACUAAUAUGUAUCAUAAGACCUUUACAUGUCUUCAUCAACAUGAUACUUAAAAUACAAAGCUCAACCUCUUUUUGCCACUCCAUGGCAUGAGUAUCCUGGCCCAUUAGUCAUUUUUCUUGAAAACUUAAACCAGGUUAUGGAAGGCAUAUUUGAGAGUGUUUUAGAAACUAGUUAACAAAAUUGAUUUUACUAAUAAAUGUUUUGUUAAAAGUGAUUUUCAUGGCAUAUUAACAUUUGUUUGUGUGUAUACUUUUAAAAGUGAUUUUGUAACAUAAAAAGUAAUUUCCAAUGACUCGAAAACAUGUUUGGAACUUAACAGAGGUAGGAAAAAUUCAAAUGGAAAAAUAGACAUGGUAUGUUGGCUUGUCUGAUUUCUUGUUUUCUUUUAUUUAUUUUUGAAAAAUUUGAUGAGAUAUGAGAUUAGUUUGUUGUUGAUUGUUCUAUCAUUAUGGUUUUGAUCUUAACUAUCUUUUUCUCUCUCUUUGGUCUUUUGUGUUGCUUUUGAUUCUAUAUGUUCUUAAUUUUAAUGUCUUGGGUCUUUGUCGAUGGUGGAGAUUAGAGAUGCUUGUGUUCUAAGAAGAUAAUGGAAGAAUUUUUUAUUUGUAUUAUGUGAGAUUGUUUUGAGUUUCAUUUUGCAUUUGUUGGAAUGGAAAGAAAAUUACUCUGUUAUCCAUGCAUAGUUAAGUUUUAGUUAAGUCUACCUUGACAUUUCUCAUAACACGACCCGUCCUUGUCUUCUGAGCUAAGAGGAUCAGGCUUAGUCAAGUCUACCGUCACAUUUCAAUUUAAUGAUCUAUUAUGUUUGAUUUUUCGUGAAUUU